GGGAAGUACAGAUGACUCCCCAGGUGAGACGGCAUUUGAUUGAGAGCUUAGAACAAGAGUUCCACAGAUGAGGAGAAGAAAGAAGCUUUCACUCCAGGCAGGAGGAACAGUGUGAGGUUUCAGAACUGCCAGGAAAGCUGCAGAACAAAGGUCUGAAAACAUAAGAGUAGCCAGGAAAAUGCAAGUCCUUCCUCCUGACCCUAGAAAAUCUCUGCUGCCAAGGCUGGGACUCUGCUGCCAACUUCAGGCCUGGGAAAACCAAGACUCCAGGAGCUCUACCUCUAGGAUUCUUCCAAACAUCUCACCAUGUCCUCUGAUACCUCUGUAGUCAUCUGCCACAACCUACUUCUGAAUAAAUCCUACAUUCCACCUU